CCCUUAGAUGUUCUGGGCCGCACGCGCGCUACACUGAUGCAUUCAACGAGUCUAAAACCUGCUCUGAUAGGGGUGGGUAAUCUUUUGAAUGUGCAUCGUGAUUGGGAUAGAUGAUUGAAAUUUUUCAUCUUCAACGAGGAAUGCCUAGUAAACGCAAGUCAUCAGCUUGCAUUGAUUACGUCCCUGCCCUUUGUACACACCGCCCGUCGCUCCUACCGAUUGGGUGUGCUGGUGAAAUGUUCGGAUCGGCCGUUUGUCGCGGUUUCCGCGUCAUGUGGCUGAGAAGUUCAUUAAACCCUCCCACCUAGAGGAAGGAGAAGUCGUAACA
rnacentral:rRNA from 1 species